UUUAUUGUCUAUAUAUGUAUAACAUCCAGAUGUUAAAGGGAAGCAGUUCAAUGCAUUAAGACCGGUGAGGGGGUUUCCGCAAGUACUUCCGCUUGAUACAUUUAAUGAUCCUAAAAACGGAUAUGUCUUUGAUGGAGAUCAGUGUGAGUUUGGUGUUGAUGUGAUGGUUUCCACUUACCAAUUGGGAAGUCGUCUCCUUUUCUCAGAAACCCUCCAAUCCAAAGUUCUCUUGGACGGUCAACAAAUUCUCUAAGUUGAAAGAACAUCGCUACAUAUCAAGCAAGUUCUUAAUAGGAGGAAGAAAUUGGGUGUUUGAGUUGUAUCCUAAAGGCUACAACGCUACAUAUUCCACAUGGUUGUCCCUCUUUCUGCAUUUAGCCGAGGGUGAAAAAAUGAAGACUGGUGAGGAGAUUUACACGCAGUGUGAUCUGCGAAUUCUCGACCCGUUUGGAUGCAACCACAUGACCAGGAAGUGGCAUUCGUUGGCUGAACUUUCGAAGGCUUAUUUGGACAAACAAGUCUCUUUGAGAGUAGAUAUCGAAUUUGAAGUUGUUUCUACCACCAAAUACUCAUGAAG